rnacentral:rRNA from 1 species
UACAGAGGUCUCAAGCGUUGUUCGGAUUCAUUGGGCGUAAAGGGUGCGUAGGCGGCGCGGUAAGUCGGGUGUGAAAUCUUGGAGCUUAACUCCGAAACUGCACUCGAUACUGCUCUGCUUGAGGACUGGAGAGGAGAUUGGAAUUCACGGUGUAGCAGUGAAAUGCGUAGAUAUCGUGAGGAAGACCAGUGGCGAAGGCGGAUCUCUGGACAGUUCCUGACGCUGAGGCGCGAAGGCCAGGGGAGCAAACGGG